rnacentral:rRNA from 1 species
CCCUUAGAUGUUCUGGGCCGCACGCGCGCUACACUGAAGGGAUCAGCGUGUUUUCCCUUUCCGAGAGAAACGGGUAACCCGCUGAACCCCCUUCGUGGUAGGGAUCGGAGCUUGCAAUUGUUCUCCGUGAACCAGGAAUUCCCAGUAAGCGCAAGUCAUAAGCUUGCGUUGAUUACGUCCCUGCCCUUUGUACACACCGCCCGUCGCUACUACCGAUUGAACGUUUUAGUGAGGUAUUUGGACUGGGCCUUGGGAGGUUUCGGCCUCCCUUGUUGCUCGGAAAGACUCCCAAACUUGAGCGUUUAGAGGAAGUAAAAGUCGUAACA